rnacentral:misc_RNA from 1 species
AAUAGGUCCAUCUAGGGGCUCAGCAAUUUUAAGACUCUCUCCCUCUAGGUCUCCCACAAAAGAGAAAUUUUCAGGAAAACAUAGCAAUUUUGCCCCCGCUGAAGCUGCUUCCUUAACGAGGCGAGAGCAAGUACCGAAAUUGACGGCGAGGUUAUUGACGGAGGUCAUCUGAGCGGCGGCGAUUCUGACGGAGUUGGCCAAAGCUCACUUCAGUUGUGAUGAAUUUUUGUCUGAAUACACAAUUGAGCUUCACUUAUAAGUUCGCC